UACGUAGGGGGCAAGCGUUGUCCGGAAUUACUGGGCGUAAAGAGCUCGUAGGUGGUUUGUCGCGUUGUUCGUGAAAUCUCACGGCUUAACUGUGAGCGUGCGGGCGAUACGGGCAGACUGGAGUACUGCAGGGGAGACUGGAAUUCCUGGUGUAGCGGUGGAAUGCGCAGAUAUCAGGAGGAACACCGGUGGCGAAGGCGGUUCUCUGGGAAUGUCCUGACGCUGAGGAGCGAAAGUGUGGGGAGCGAACAGG
rnacentral:rRNA from 1 species